AUACGGAGGAUCCGAGCGUUAUCCGGAUUUAUUGGGUUUAAAGGGUGCGCAGGCGGCCAUUUAAGUCAGCGGUUAAAUCGUGGGGCUCAACCCCAUUCUGCCGUUGAUACUGGGUGGCUUGAUUGCGGUCGAGGUUGGCGGAAUUCGUUGUGUAGCGGUGAAAUGCAUAGAUAUGACGAGGAACACCGAUUGCGUAGGCAGCUGACCAGACCGCAAAUGACGCUCAUGCACGAAAGGGCGGGGAUCGAACAGGAUUAGAUACCCUGGUAGUCCGCACAGUAAACGAUGAAUACUUGUUUUCGGCGAUAUAAUGUCGGAGGCAAAGCGAAAGCGAUAAGUAUUCCACCUGGGGAGUACGCCGGCAACGGUGAAACUCAAAUGAAUUGACGGGG
rnacentral:rRNA from 1 species